rnacentral:rRNA from 1 species
GACGAACGCUGGCGGCGUGCCUAAUACAUGCAAGUAGAACGCUGAAGAGAGGAGCUUGCUCUUCUUGGAUGAGUUGCGAACGGGUGAGUAACGCGUAGGUAACCUGCCUGGUAGCGGGGGAUAACUAUUGGAAACGAUAGCUAAUACCGCAUGAWAUUGCUUAUCGCAUGAUAWUUAAUUGAAAGAUGCAAUUGCAUCACUACCAGAUGGACCUGCGUUGUAUUAGCUAGUUGGUGAGGUAACGGCUCACCAAGGCAACGAUACAUAGCCGACCUGAGAGGGUGACCGGCCACACUGGGACUGAGACACGGCCCAGACUCCUACGGGAGGCAGCAGUAGGGAAUCUUCGGCAAUGGACGGAAGUCUGACCGAGCAACGCCGCGUGAGUGAAGAAGGUUUUCGGAUCGUAAAGCUCUGUUGUAAGAGAAGAACGAGUGUGAGAGUGGAAAGUUCACACUGUGACGGUAUCUUACCAGAAAGGGACGGCUAACUACGUGC